AUAUUGGGCAAUGGGCGAAAGCCUGACCCAGCCACGCCGCGUGAGUGAUGAAGGCCUUCGGGUCGUAAAGCUCUGUGGGGAGGGACGAACAAGCCGUGAGCUAAUACCCACGGUCCUGACGGUACCUCCUUAGCAAGCACCGGCUAACCCUGUGCCAGCAGCCGCGGUAAUACAGGGGGUGCAAACGUUGCUCGGAAUUAUUGGGCGUAAAGCGCGCGUAGGCGGCUACUUAAGUCGGAUGUGAAAGCCCCUGGCUCAACUGGGGAAGUGCACCCGAAACUGAGCAGCUUGAAUACAAAAGAGGGCCGCGGAAUUCCCGGUGUAGAGGUGAAAUUCGUAGAUAUCGGGAGGAACACCGGUGGCGAAGGCGGCGGCCUGGGUUGAUAUUGACGCUGAGGCGCGAAAGCGUGGGGAGCAAAC
rnacentral:rRNA from 1 species